AUUGAACGCUGGCGGCAGGCUUAACACAUGCAAGUCGAGCGGGGUGAUGGUGCUUGCACUGUCACUUAGCGGCGGACGGGUGAGUAAUGCUUAGGAAUCUGCCUAUUAGUGGGGGACAACAUCUCGAAAGGGAUGCUAAUACCGCAUACGUCCUACGGGAGAAAGCAGGGGAUCACUUGUGACCUUGCGCUAAUAGAUGAGCCCAAGUCGGAUUAGCUAGUUGGUGGGGUAAAGGCCUACCAAGGCGACGAUCUGUAGCGGGUCUGAGAGGAUGAGCCGCCACCCUGGGACUGAGGCACGGCCCAGACUCCUACGGGAGGCAGCAGUGGGGAAUAUUGGACAAUGGGGGGAACCCUGAUCUAGCCAUGCCGCGUGUGUGAAGAAGGCCUUAUGGUUGUAAAGCACUUUAAGCGAGGAGGAGGCUCUUUUGGUUAAUACCCAAGAUGAGUGGACGUUACUCGCAGAAUAAGCACCGGCUAACUCUGUGCCAGCCGCUGCGGUAA
rnacentral:rRNA from 1 species